UACAGAGGGUGCGAGCGUUGUCCGGAAUCACUGGGCGUAAAGGGCGCGUAGGCGGCCUGAUAAGUAGGGGGGGAAAUCUUGCGGCUCAACCGCAAGGCUGCCUUCUAAACUGUCAGGCUGGAGCACGGUAGAGGCAGAUGGAAUUCCCGGUGUAGCGGUGGAAUGCGUAGAGAUCGGGAAGAACACCAGUGGCGAAGGCGGUCUGCUGGGCCGUUGCUGACGCUGAGGCGCGAAAGCGUGGGGAGCAAACAGG
rnacentral:rRNA from 1 species